AGGCGGGUGGCAGCCGAGGGAGGCCUGUUCCUGCCCCGCCUGCUGCAGGGCGGAGCUGAGCUCAGCAGGCCUGGAAGAGGCUUCUGGGGAAGCCCUGGGGGAGGCAGCUGGAGGGAGAGACAGUGAGGAAGCCGCGCCUGCUUCUCAGCCCGGGGCUGUACCAGACGAGGUGAUCUUCCUUAAUGAGGACGCGAUUCUCGAGUAGGAAAAGAGGAUCACGACGAGGGGCAGGACACCCAGCAGAGCCGUCAUAAAGUAAAUCAGCGCGUCGUUCAGGCCGGUGUCUGCGCAGGCGAGCCUGAGGAUGUGCGUCAGCUCACAGAAGAAAUGAGGCACUUCGAGGGCGCCACAGAAGUCCAGGGGCAUCAUCAGAGAGAGGUGAAGGAAGGAGGUCAUGAUGCCCACGAGCCAGGUAACAAAGACCAGGAGGCCACAGACGCGGGGGUUCAUGAUGACCAUGUAGUGCAGGGGGCGGCAGAUGGCCAUGAACCGGUCAUAGGCCAUGAUGGUCAGGAGCAGCGUGUCCAGGACAGGGAAAAACAUGGAAAAAUAGACCUGCGUGAGGCAGCCCCUGCGGGAGAUGGCUUUGUUCUCCGCGUGGAUGCUCGCCAGCAUCUGGGGGACUAUGGUGGUGCUAAAGCAGAUGUCCACAAAGGACAGGUUGGACAGGAAGAAGUACAUGGGGGUGUGCAGGUGGGGGUCGGAGCUGAUGGCCAGGAUGAUGAGCAGGUUCCCAAGCACAGUGACCAGGUACAUAGCCAGGAACAGCCCAAAUAGGAGGGGCUGCAGUUCUGCGUCCCCAGAGAACCCGAGGAGGAUGAAUCCUAAAAGUCUGCUUUGGUUUCGAGCGUCCAUGGAGCUGCCGUACCUGUGAAGGAAGAGAGGACCCAGCGUGAGCUGUCAGGGAACCGGCUCCAUCCCGCCAGCGAGAGAGCUGGCCGAGCUCGCCCUGCGGGUUGUCUGGGAAGUUAGCCAUUUGGUCUAAGAGUCGGUUCUCCUUUCAGUCAUAAGUUAAAUCCUAAAAAAAGUGAAUUAUCUUAUCCCAACCCCCAAUUGUAAGAACUGAUUUUACGACAAAAUCAAAAUGCAAUUCCACACAACGGAGCUCUAGCAUCCGGGCUGCCUGCCUAAAGCGCCCACCCAUCUCCUGACAGCCCUGUGGAGUGUUCUGGGAGCCUAUAAAUGGGGCAGAUCCGCAUGCUGUGCCCCGGCUGGGGGCGUGAAGAAGGACGGAACUUCCCUGCUGAGGGAGGCCUUCAAAAGAUGCAGGACUUCCACGCGGCCGCCAGGGGACACCAGAACGGCGCAAAUGGAAGGACGUUGUGUUGCCACAGCCCUGGGCCCUGAGAAACGCCAGCGCCGGUUAAUGAGAGUGUUCCAGAUGAAACCAGGCCAAAGAGACGAGUCAACCGAAGGUGUUACAGAGCAUGGUGAGGGCACCCCAGAACCCCCACACCCGCCUCUUCUAAAUAGGUUCUGCCAUCCACCUCAUCAAGACAAAACUCUAGCAGUGUUUCAGGUUGCUUUCCUGAGCCGCCUCACGUCGUGCUGUCUCUACCCUCUCCAGACACAACUGCUCCACCACUUGCCUUCUGUGAUUUGGCCAAUGACGGCUCUCACCUUUGGAGAUGUUGGCCUUUACUUGUGAAAUGGUCAGGCCUGUUGUGCACGUUUCCAUUACAUUAUAUUUCACAGACAUUUUACACACUUACCUUUAUUCCUUCUGAAAAAAAUCUAUCUUAGCAUGAAUGUUAAAUACAAAAACAAAAACAAAAAGUGUCGAGGAAACAAAGGACUCAGCAGCAAUCCCUCGGAUUUAGUUGCUGUCACUUUGUUUAUCCCCUCAGUGUGUUUAAGAAACGCAAACAAUGUCAGUCCCUGGUUAUCAGUGUCACACAGUAACAUGUUCUGUUGAUAAGAAAAUUGUGUAUUCUGUUACUUUUAAUGUCUGUGGACCUGUGCCUGUGCGUGUCUGUGGGUAAGAGGCCAAUGUUGUUGACCUCUCUGUGUUCUCCUUGGCGUGUUCCCAUUAUUUUCUCCAUUACAGGACGAGCCAGGAGCAGAAAGCAUUUGCUUGGCAUCUAAGUCAUGCCUCGGGCGUUUACAAACACUGAUUUGUUCUCCUUUAGCCUCUCCCAGAAAGCAUUUGCCUUCAGUCUCCAGGCCAGUCGGAGGGAGAACAGACAACAUUUAUGCUCAUCAAGCGUUUCUUCCUUUAUGCAUUUCUCAUUUGAUGAUUGGGGAAAGGAAGAUCGAUUUAAUUGCUCCAUGUCCUUCGUGUCUACCCCGUAAUCAUUUAACCAUGGUGGGGGGGUUUCAUUUCCAGUGUUUCCAGCCAGUGUUACUGUGAAGAAAGGGCUGGUGAACAUUUUCACACGUCAAGAUUUUUAUGUUUCAAAGCAUUUCCUUAGGUCAUCUCCCAAAAACAGAACCGCUCUUUCUAUUUAGAGAAAAUAAAAACAUUUUGAAUUCUGAAGGGUGGUAGGAACGAUUUUCUCGGGAGCGGGU